GUAGGGGAUAGCUGUGGAACACAGGGUAAUACCCGAUGUGACUGAUAUCUUGCGGGGUAUUGGUGAAAGGUGCUGAGGCACGGCAUAAGGAUGAGCCUGCGUCUGAUAAGUUAGUUGGUGGGGUAAAGGCCUACCAAGGCGACGAUCAGUAGCCGGCCUGAGAGGGUGACCGGCCACACUGGGACUGAGACACGGCCCAGACUCCUACGGGAGGCAGCAGCUAAAGAAUCUUCCGCAAUGGGGGAAACCCUGACGGAGCGACGCCGGUUGAACGAAGAAGGCCGUGAGGUUGUAAAGUUUCUUUUCUCGGAGAAGAAUAAUGUAGCGAAGGGAAUGCGCUACAGAUGACAUUACCCGAGGAAUAAGCCCCGGCUAAUUACGUGCCAGUAGCCGCGGUAACACGUAAGGGGCGAGCGUUGGUUCGGAUUUACUGGGCGUAAAGGGCGUGUAGGCGGGUUUUGUAAAGCCCUGGUGUGAAAGGGCUCCGGCUUAACUUGGGAGUUUUGGGCUGGGAACCUGCAAGACUAGAGUGCAGGAAGGGGAAGCUGGAAUUCCUUGGUGUAGGGGUGAAAUCUGUAGAUAUCAGG
rnacentral:rRNA from 1 species